rnacentral:rRNA from 1 species
UGAGCAAUCUGCCCUUCUCUUCGGAAUAAGCGUUGGAAACGACGUCUAAUGCCGAAUACGACCUCCUUUCACAUGAUCGGAGGUGGAAAGCUCCGGCGGAGAAGGAUGAGCUCGCGGCCUAUCAGCUAGUUGGUGUGGGUAAUGGCCCACCAAGGCGACGACGGGUAGCCGGCCUGAGAGGGUGACCGGCCACACGUGGGACUGAGACACGGCCCAGACCUCCGUACGGGGAGGCAGCG